ensembl:lncRNA
UAGAAAGCUAUGUCAGUCAUACAUCCCGCCAUAAAUCAGAUUCAGCUCAAGCAUCACUUCUAGCCUGAAUCCUUUCCCAGCAAAUGCAUCCUGAAGCUGAGACUUCCCUUCAUGUCAAGUACUACCCACAAGGGCUCCAGGCCCUCUGUUCAUGGACAGAACCAGCAUCGGACUUGGGAGGAAAAGGCACACACAGAAGCCUGAUGCUGUGGGAAAUCCUGCUCACACAGACAGAAAGCAAGCAAGAGUCUCCAGUGGACUUGCUAACGUGUUCUUAUAAAUCUAUAAUCCUGCCACCACUCCCCCCAAUAUAUCCACCAUGAUGUUCAUAG